AACCUCAGGGUCACACCUGGAGAGUUUUCACUACUCUGCCAGUCUUGAAUAAGGGAGGGACAGUCAAGCAGAGACAAAGCCAUUCCAUUCCUAGCUUGGGAAGUGGCUAGAGAGCGGAAGACAAUCUGCUACAAGU